GAUGAACGCUGGCGGCGUGCCUAAUACAUGCAAGUCGAGCGAACGGACGAGAAGCUUGCUUCUCUGAUGUUAGCGGCGGACGGGUGAGUAACACGUGGAUAACCUACCUAUAAGACUGGGAUAACUUCGGGAAACCGGAGCUAAUACCGGAUAAUAUUUUGAACCGCAUGGUUCAAAAGUGAAAGACGGUCUUGCUGUCACUUAUAGAUGGAUCCGCGCUGCAUUAGCUAGUUGGUAAGGUAACGGCUUACCAAGGCAACGAUGCAUAGCCGACCUGAGAGGGUGAUCGGCCACACUGGAACUGAGACACGGUCCAGACUCCUACGGGAGGCAGCAGUAGGGGAUCUUCCGCAAUGGGCGAAAGCCUGACGGAGCAACGCCGCGUGAGUGAUGAAGGUCUUCGGGUCGUAAAACUCUGUUAUUAGGGAAGAACAUAUGUGUAAGUAACUGUGCACAUCUUGACGGUACCUAAUCAGAAAGCCACGGCUAACUACGUGCCAGCAGCCGCGGUAAUACGUAGGUGGCAAGCGUUAUCCGGAAUUAUUGGGCGUAAAGCGCGCGUAGGCGGUUUUUUAGUCUGAUGUGAAAGCCCACGGCUCAACCGUGGAGGGUCAUUGGAAACUGGAAAACUUGAGUGCAGAAGAGGAAAGUGGAAUUCCAUGUGUAGCGGUGAAAUGCGCAGAGAUAUGGAGGAACACCAGUGGCGAAGGCGACUUUCUGGUCUGUAACUGACGCUGAUGUGCGAAAGCGUGGGGAUCAAACAGGAUUAGAUACCCUGGUAGUCCACGCCGUAAACGAUGAGUGCUAAGUGUUAGGGGGUUUCCGCCCCUUAGUGCUGCAGCUAACGCAUUAAGCACUCCGCCUGGGGAGUACGACCGCAAGGUUGAAACUCAAAGGAAUUGACGGGGACCCGCACAAGCGGUGGAGCAUGUGGUUUAAUUCGAAGCAACGCGAAGAACCUUACCAAAUCUUGACAUCCUUUGACAACUCUAGAGAUAGAGCCUUCCCCUUCGGGGGACAAAGUGACAGGUGGUGCAUGGUUGUCGUCAGCUCGUGUCGUGAGAUGUUGGGUUAAGUCCCGCAACGAGCGCAACCCUUAAGCUUAGUUGCCAUCAUUAAGUUGGGCACUCUAAGUUGACUGCCGGUGACAAACCGGAGGAAGGUGGGGAUGACGUCAAAUCAUCAUGCCCCUUAUGAUUUGGGCUACACACGUGCUACAAUGGACAAUACAAAGGGCAGCGAAACCGCGAGGUCAAGCAAAUCCCAUAAAGUUGUUCUCAGUUCGGAUUGUAGUCUGCAACUCGACUACAUGAAGCUGGAAUCGCUAGUAAUCGUAGAUCAGCAUGCUACGGUGAAUACGUUCCCGGGUCU
rnacentral:rRNA from 1 species